ACUUAAAUAAACCUGAUGGGUAUAUUAUUAACUUAAGUAUCUAGAUCCGGACCCAAUCUUAAGUUAAAUGGGUAAGGUAUAUAUUUUUUGAGAAAAAUUUCAAAUACCACCCCUGUGGUUACACACUUUCUCACUUUAGUACCCUGUGGUUUAAGGCGUAUCAAUUUAGUGCCCUAUGGUUUCUUUUUAUCUUUUUAUUAUCGAUUCCACUAAUUUUUUUUCAUUAAAUCGGUGACAAAGUUAAAACUAAAGGGUACUAAAGUAAAUAUUCGAUAAACCUAGGUGGGUCUCUGAAGUUUUUGAUAUAUAAUUUAACGAAAUAUUAACGGAAAAGCUAGUGAAAAGAUAAAAAUGAAACCACAUGACACUAACUUGAUAAAUUUUAAACCACAGGGUACUAAAGUGAGAAAGUGCGAAACCACAAUGGUGGGAUUUGAAGUUUACCCCUUUUUUUUAUCCAUUUCUUUUUAAGGUUCGGGUAUAUCCAGACCCGACCGGUCUACGAACACCUUUAGGCACAAGCUGUAUUCGCUGUGCCGCAUCCUGCUAAUAAGAUAUAGGCAAUAUAUACUCCCAUGCCGAUGGUACAACUCAAAACAUUUUAUUUUUUAGGAAAAACUUCAAAUACCACCCCUGUGAUUUCACACUUUCUCACUUUAAUACCAUGUGCUUUAAAGUAUAUCAGUUUAGUGCCAUAUGGUUUUAUUUUUCUCGUUUUAUUAUCGAUUCCACUAUUUUUUUUUGUUAAAUCAGUGGUAAAGCUAAAAAUAAAAAGUACUAAAGUGAAUAUUCGAUAAAUCUAGAUAGAGUAUCUAAAUUUUUUUUGUAUAUAAUUUAACAAAAUGUUAACAGAGGAGCUGACGGAAAGAGAAAAAUAAAACCACUGAGUACUAAUUGAUAUACUUUAAACCACAGUGUACUAAAGUGAAAAAGUACAAAACCACAUGGGCGGUAUUUGAAGUUUAUCCUAUUUUUUAAAUUAGUAAGUAAUUUUUUCAAUAAAAUUUAAAAUAUUUGAUAAAAACAUAAUAAACAAUGAGAAUAUUAUUUUGCUAAAAAAAUAAAUAUUUGAUGUGAUUAUGUGUCGGCACACGUGUAUUUUUUGUGACCAGCACGCAUCAAUACGACCGGACACAUACCAUGUCGUAUCAUACUGGUAUAUUAAAUUUUCGAUACGAUCCUGUGCACGAAACUC
rnacentral:lncRNA from 1 species